GACAGAGGGUACAAACGUUGUUCGGAAUUACUGGGCGUAAAGCGCGUGUAGGCUGCCCUGCAAGUCGGAUGUGAAAGCCCUGGGCUCAACCUAGGAAGUGCAUUCGAAACUGCGGGGCUGGAGUCCUGGAGAGGAAGGCGGAAUUCUCGGUGUAGAGGUGAAAUUCGUAGAUAUCGAGAGGAACACCGGUGGCGAAGGCGGCCUUCUGGACAGUGACUGACGCUGAGACGCGAAAGCGUGGCGAGCAAACAGG
rnacentral:rRNA from 1 species